rnacentral:rRNA from 1 species
GAUGAACGCUGGCGGCGUGCCUAAUACAUGCAAGUCGAGCGAACAGACGAGGAGCUUGCUCCUCUGACGUUAGCGGCGGACGGGUGAGUAACACGUGGAUAACCUACCUAUAAGACUGGGAUAACUUCGGGAAACCGGAGCUAAUACCGGAUAAUAUAUUGAACCGCAUGGUUCAAUAGUGAAAGACGGUUUUGCUGUCACUUAUAGAUGGAUCCGCGCCGCAUUAGCUAGUUGGUAAGGUAACGGCUUACCAAGGCGACGAUGCGUAGCCGACCUGAGAGGGUGAUCGGCCACACUGGAACUGAGACACGGUCCAGACUCCUACGGGAGGCAGCAGUAGGGAAUCUUCCGCAAUGGGCGAAAGCCUGACGGAGCAACGCCGCGUGAGUGAUGAAGGUCUUCGGAUCGUAAAACUCUGUUAUUAGGGAAGAACAAAUGUGUAAGUAACUAUGCACGUCUUGACGGUACCUAAUCAGAAAGCCACGGCUAACUUCGUG